UUCCGGUUGAUCCCGCCGGACCUUACUGCUAUCGGGGUGGGACUAAGACAUGCGAGUCGAGCGUCUCUAGCUAUGUUGAGACGCGGCAUACGGCUCAGUAACACGUGGCUAACCUACCCUCAGGACGGGGACAAACCCGGGAAACUGGGGCUAAUAUCCGAUAGGCGAAGAAUCCUGGAAUGGUUCUUCACUCAAAGGACAUUGGAAACAUGCUUUCUCUGUCGCCUGGGGAUGGGGCCGCGUCCGAUCAGGUUGUUGGUGAGGUAAUGGCUCACCAAGCCUUUAACCGGUACGGGCCGUGAGAGCGGUAGCCCGGAGAUGGGUACUGAGACAAGGACCCAGGCCCUACGGGGCGCAGCAGUCGCGAAAACUCCGCAAUGCACGAAAGUGUGACGGGGCUACCCCGAGUGCCGUCCGCUGAGGAUGGCUUUUCCUUGGUGUAACUAGCCGGGGGAAUAAGGAGAGGGCAAGACUGGUGUCAGCCGCCGCGGUAAUACCAGCUCUCCGAGUGGUAGGGAUGAUUAUUGGGCUUAAAAGCGUCCGUAGCCCGGCUUUAGCAAAGUUUUCCUGUUAAAAUUCAGCGACCUAAUCGUUGAGCCGCGGGGAAAUACUACUAGGCUAGGAGACGGGAGAGGUCGACGGUACUUCUGGGGUAGGGGUGAAAUCCUAUAAUCCCGGGAGGACCACCAGUGGCGAAGGCUGUCGACUAGAACGCGCUCGACGGUGAGGGACGAAAGCUGGGGGAGCGAACCGGAUUAGAUACCCGGGUAGUCCCAGCUGUAAACGAUGCGGGCUAGGUGUUGGGGUGGCUACGUGCCACUUCAGUGCCGCAGGGAAGCCAUUAAGCCCGCCGCCUGGGGAGUACGGCCGCAAGGCUGAAACUUAAAGGAAUUGGCGGGGGAGCACCACAAGGCGUGAAGCUUGCGGUUCAAUUGGAUUCAACGCCGGGAAUCCCGCGGCCA
rnacentral:rRNA from 1 species